rnacentral:rRNA from 1 species
AUGCUGAUUAUGUUGAUUGUGAUGUGGUACCUAUGCAAGCAUGUUCCUUAUUACUUGGUAGACCAUGGCAAUUUGAUAAAAAUUCUGUACACCAUGGUAGAAACAAAUCACUAUACUCUUGUUCAUAAGGAUAAAAAUAUUACUUUGCUUCCUAUGACUCCUGAUUCCAUUUUGACAGAUGAUAUUAAUAGAGCUAAUAAAGCACAACAGGAGAAGAAUAAGAGUGAAAAUCAGAUUGUGGCAAAAGAAUUUGAGCAACAAAUGAAGCAUAAUAAUAAACCAUCUAGUGUUGCUUCUGAAAUUAAAUUGAAAAGUGCAUGUUUAUUUGCCACCAAAUCUGAUAUUGAUGAGCUAGAUUUCAGCAAAUCUGUUUGCUAUGCUUUUGUGUGCAAAGAGGCAUUAUUUUCAUUCGAGGACGUGCCUUCCUCUUUGCCUCCUGCUGUCACUAACAUUUUGCAGGAGUUCGCUGACGUUUUUCCACAAGACGUGCCACCGGGAUUACCGCCUAUUCGAGGGAUUGAGCAUCAGAUUGACUUAAUUCCCGGUGCUUCACUGCCAAACCGUGCACCAUACCGUACCAAUCCAGAGGAGACGAAGGAGAUUAUGCGUCAAGUACAAGAGCUUCUCGACAAAGGUUAUAUACGUGAAUCCCUUAGUCCUUGUGCUGUUCCUAUUAUUCUAGUGCCGAAAAAGGAUGGUACAUCACGUAUGUGUGUUGAUUGUAGAGGCAUUAAUAAUAUUACUAUUUGUUAUCGUCAUCCUAUUCCUAGGCUAGAUGAUAUGCUUGAUGAAUUGAGUGGCUCUACAAUAUUCUCCAAAGUUGAUUUGCGUAGUGGCUACCAUCAAAUUCGUAUGAAAUUGGGAGAUGAAUGGAAAACAGCAUUUAAAACUAAGUUUGGAUUAUAUGAGUGGUUAGUCAUGCCUUUUGGGUUAACUAAUGCACCUAGUACUUUCAUGAGAUUAAUGAACGAAGUUUUACGUGCUUCCAUUGGACGAUUUGUGGUAGUUUACUUUGAUGACAUAUUGAUUUAUAGCAGAUCUACGUGA